CUGAGUGGCGGACGGGUGAGUAACGCGUGAGCAAUCUGCCUAUGCGAGGGGGAUAACAGCCGGAAACAGCUGCUAAUACCGCAUGAAACAUUUGGGUCGCAUGAUCCGGAUGUCAAAGAGUAACAUCGCGCAUAGAUGAGCUCGCGUCUGAUUAGAUAGUUGGUGGGGUAACGGCCUACCAAGUCGACGAUCAGUAGCCGGACUGAGAGGUUGAACGGCCACAUUGGAACUGAGAAACGGUCCAGACUCC
rnacentral:rRNA from 1 species